AUGUCUGUGGACGGCUGCUUCGUCCCGUUCCACACUCCUCUUCGGGAGCCGACUGCCUACGACCACUGGGGGAAGGGCCCGCAACCCUGCUGGUCGCAGCUCGAUCUGGACAAGUGCGCAGUGAGAGGCUCGCAAGGGCAAGGCGGCGUCGACAGGCAGAAGGAGAAUUUGCCAGAGGAGCCAAAGCAACACCAUCCUGCUCAAGAGAGACACACCACACAUCAUAACAGUAAAAAUGGGAAAACGAUACUGGUAACUUUAUUUUUGAGUGGUAGAGCGUGCUAUGUUGUCUUUGCUCAUUUCUAUGACAUGAUCAUAAUUUUUCGAUGCAUUAGGAGUCGGGCUGGGUGGGCUCCCAAGGACAGGAGUGCCCCAUGCAUCAGGAGCCGAGCUGCAUGUGCUUCCAAGGAGAGGAGCACUCCUGAAGGUAUCAACAUGGAGGAACAUGGAUUUAGGUUUCAGUUUACUUUCCCUGAACCUGAUUAUGGGGAGUACGGCGCCGAUUUCGGUGAGGAAGAGGAGUGUUUACCGAGGCAGAGGAAACCUCCGGAAGUAAGGAAUGCACUCCGUGAGAAGAGAGUCGCGUUUAGGCAAAAGACUGGGCAGCACCAUACAAAAGACUGGGCAGCCCUGCGUAAGUACAACAGAGCAAACAACACCAAGUUUGAGCUGGUGGAGGUGCCAGUAAUCCGUGAGUUUUGGGAGUUUGGAGGGGGCUGCAUCCAUUACAACUUCACGGCUAAGCAAGCAGAGGAUCGUCAUCAUUCUGCUAAUGCCGAUAGCACCAAGCUCUUCUUCUCUGAGGUCAACUCCGCUUUCCAUGGCGAGAAGGAUGUAGUUCUAUGCUGUAUCGUUGGAGAACAUGAUAAUGGUGCGUAUUUGCCAGAGAAAUUGCUGUUUUCUAAUUUC
rnacentral:rRNA from 1 species